AACGAACGCUGGCGGCAUGCCUAACACAUGCAAGUCGAACGAGACCUUCGGGUCUAGUGGCGCACGGGUGCGUAACGCGUGGGAACCUGCCCUUAGGUUCGGAAUAACUCCCCGAAAGGGGUGCUAAUACCGGAUAAUGUCUUCGGACCAAAGAUUUAUCGCCUUGGGAUGGGCCCGCGUUGGAUUAGCUAGUUGGUAGGGUAAAAGCCUACCAACGCGACGAUCCAUAGCUGGUCUGAGAGGAUGAUCAGCCACACUGGGACUGAGACACGGCCCAGACUGGUACGGGGGGCAGCAGUGGGGAAUAUUGGACAAUGAGCGAAAGCCUGGUCCAGCAAUGCCGCGUGAGUGAUGAAGGCCUUAGGGUUGUAAAGCUCUUUUACCCGGGAUGAUAAUGACAGUACCGGGAGAAUAAGCUCCGGCUAACUACGUG
rnacentral:rRNA from 1 species